rnacentral:rRNA from 1 species
UGCCAGCCGCCGCGGUAAUACGGAGGGUGCAAGCGUUAUCCGGAAUCACUGGGUUUAAAGGGUGCGUAGGCGGUCCGACAAGUCAGAGGUGAAAUGCACGAGCUUAACUGGUGAAUUGCCAUUGAUACUGCUUAACUUGAAUUAGUGUGAGGUAAUUAGAAUAAGUAGUGUAGCGGUGAAAUGCAUAGAUAUUACUUAGAAUACCGAUUGCGAAGGCAGGUUACUAACACUAUAUUGACGCUGAGGGACGAAAGCGUGGGGAGCGAACAGGAUUAGAUA